AGAAAAGAUGGGGUUUCACCAUGUUGGCCAGGCUGAUCCUGAACUCCUGAUCUCGUGAUCCAACCACCUCGGCCUCCCAAAGUGCUGAGAUUACAGGUGUGAGCUACCGUACCCAGCCACCUUCACCACUCUUGUUCUGAGCCCCAAUUUUGCUGGGCUCCUUCGCUGAUUUGUGCUCCCUUCCUGGGCCCUUUUUGCUCCCUUUGCGCCCAUAUACCCCUUUCAGGUCACUAACUCUUAUCGUGACCAACCAGGCCAGGCCCUCCGUGGCUCACUCUCCUGGAGAGGCUCAUUGGAGCACCCACCACUGUGACAACAUCACCUGUUGUGCUGUCUUCGCUGGUCUCAAGCCUCUUUGAGGGCAAGGACCACGUCAUGUUUGCUCAGGCCUGAAACUUUCGUGCUUGGCUCUGAGUAGGCCCACAGUAAUGCCAGUGUGUUCGAUGGGAGAAGGAAUGAGCUGUACCUUGCUAUCCCAGCAUACCCUACCCUACCCAACUCUAGUCCUAAAUAGUGGCAGAGAUGGAUAGAUCAUAAGCAAUUCUAAAUCAAUUGUACCAGUGUGGUUGCACUACCUGCUUUUAGCAGCUGGAGAAGCACGCUGGAACUGUCCAUGGAAUGCUCCACUUUGCUAAGAUAACCAUCAAAAAGGGAAAGUGCAAAGCAGGUAUCCCUUCCAUAAAUCACUGGUUUGUCAACUCACUGUCCAGCCCUACAGUGAUUGUUUGACAAAAGCAAAAAGGUUCACAAAAGCCUGAUCAUGCUUUUUGGCAUUAUAUUAUCAGGGCCUUAAAAAAUCCUCUUCUCUCAUUAAAAUAUAAUAGUUCCUAUUAGGAGCAUCUCAGACCCAGUAGAUACCUAAUGCUUGUUUAUUGAUGGUGGUGAUGACAGCAUCGUUAGUACAGAGGUAAUUGAUUUUCACAGUGACAAGCCGGAGGCUCGUUGAUGAAUGAGCAAAUGAGGCCCUGCAAGACACGGAAAUGCCUUGUGAAUGAAAGCAGUUAUUUCAGUGCAGUUUUACUGUUAAGUGCUUUUAUUGGAUUCAGAUUUUAAAAAUGAGUAGUUCCUGGAGGGUAUACACAACUGUGUGGAACAGCAUGUGUGACUGACAACUCGCAGCACCCUUAGAGAAGCUCGGACUUCAGGAGCUCGAGCUUCCGCUGCUGACGCGGCCCUGCUCUCUGUUCUCUGAGGCAUGAUCAGGCUUUUGUGGAUCUUUUGGUUUUUGUCAAACAUUCACUGUAGGGCUGGACGGUGAGUUGACAAACCAGUGAUUUAUGGAAUGGAUACCUGCUUUGCUCUUUCCCUUUUUGAUGGUUAUCUUAGCAAAGCAGAGCAUUCCAAGGACAGCUCCAGCCUGCUUCUCCAGCUGCUAAAAGCAGGUAGUGCAACUCAGAUCCAGAUUAAAUGUCCAUUUAUUCAGUCACACUGCUUCCUGGGUGCUUUCUCUGAAUGCAAGAUUCAGUCCAAACCUCUGGGCACCCUGGUGGCUUGAAGUUCACUGUGCAUAUUUUUCACAUGUGGAAACUAAGACUCAACUCGGGGAGGUUGCAGAACUUCCAAGGUCAUGUCCAGUAUUCUUAUCUGCAUGUGCCCAGGCCCACUCCACUCCUUGCAAUAUUUUGGUCAUAUCCUGGGGAGGCAAGGCCAGCAAACCUUUUGAAAAUAUAUGGUUGAGAGAAAAAGCAGCCCAGGGCAGGGAAGGUGACUCUGCGAUUGCCACACACACAAACAGCAUCAGAAAAUCCGAAACCAGUCACAAAUAAAAUGCAGUUGAGCAAAUCUUUCUAGGAUCUUAAUUGUUUAUGCAGUAAUGGGUGGCAUUUGUCUGCUAUAAUUUGUCAAUUGAAAAAGCAAACAGUUUCAAUUCAGUAGUGGAAAACUGCAUGCAGGAACGAGUGACAGAGUAAUCGCUGGAGGAAAAUGUUAUUGGAAACCAUUAAGCAAGAAUUUAUGAGAAAAUGAAAGACAAGCUGUCCUCUCAUCCCACGCUGUUGAACUUUCCCUGGAAACUGCAAGCUGCCAAUGAGAAGCCAAGUUGAAAUGCAAGGCCAGCCAAUCAAACAGCUUAUCACGUAAAAGGCAAGGCAGUGGAAGGGGCCGCAGAAGUUCCUUGACUCACGAGGCAAGGCAUUCAGAGGCCUCGUGACACCUCCCGGGAUCUGCAGUCAUUGGGCUGCACUUGCCAAUAGCAACAUCUGGCAAAAAUAGCCAAGCAGCAGAGCGGCCUGGGCUCGGGAGCUGAGCAACCCCUGACUGGCCACAUGGAGACUGUGCUGAGCUCUGCCCAAGCCCUGUGAUCCUGGAAAACAGUAAAGUGAAGGAGCCAUCUGCGUUCUGGGGAAUGGCCCACUGCAAAAAAUACCCUUCCUCAUAGGACGUUGAGGACUCAUGAUGUCCCCUCAUUGAUGACGAGCCCAGACACAGCCCUUCCUAAUUCCAAUUCUUUGCGUCAUAAGUGAUAGACUGUUUUGUUCCCACUGGUCAAUCAGAACAACAUUCUUGCUAACCAGACUUCGGUUCAGCUCUUCUCCCUCCCCAUGUCCCUGCCCGGUGUCCUAUCCUCAUCCUGAGCCAGCACACGCCCCUCCUUGGCAGCUCCUCCUGCAGCAGGCUGACCUCAGACUCCCCCUGAUCCAUUGUCCAAAUAUAUCACCCUUUCACCCUAAGUCCUUACACCCUAUUCUUUCUAGUUUUGUUCAUUCCUCCCUGUGAAAGAUGAACCCUCUUUUCCUAACCCCAGACCUGCUUGCAGACCUGCUAUGAUGGCCAAGUGUCCCCGCUACUGCAAGAGUCCCUUCUCUCCCUUGCGAUAUCUUUUAAAUAAAAUCCCUCCUUACCAA